AGACUGAGAGUCAGGGGAAGGAAAUGUGCUGGAUAUAGUCAACAAACCGGCCAUUUCUUGUUGUUUGAGAACCAUCGCCUCAGUGCUGGUAGUUUUAACAUUCUUCAUUUAAAUAUUUAUUAAACACAACAUUCCUUGUGAGCAUUUUUUUCCCCUGUAAAAUCAGUUUAUUUACAGUUUCAAAAUAAGUAAUUGUAUAAGAACAAUUCUAUUUUCACUCAUUCCAUUAGUCGGAACAGGUAGAGCUAAAGAAGUCACCCUGAAUCUUUGCAGUCUUUAUUUUAAAAUAUGUAUUUGAAGUCCUAUUGAUAUAAUUGGGAUCUGAGAACAUUUUUUACAAGAAUGCUUGAGAAACGAAUGGAUUGUGCUUCUCUCGUCAAUUCAACGUCAGAAACGGAUUAAGACCAGGCAAGUUUGACUUCUCAUCAGCCUCCAUCUGCGCUGAGGCCUAAUGGCGGAGCUGGCAGCCUCCAACUGCGACCGACCUCGAGGCUCCGGAGGCAGAGCCAGCCAGGACUUACCAACGCGAGGCUGGCCGAAUUCGGAGCUGAUGCGGCGUUCCGGCGUUCCUGUGGCAGAGGCCCGGCUUCGGGGCUGAGGCGGCGACCUGAAUUCGGGGCUCAGCCGCGGGCCCAGUGGACGACAUCGUCAAGAGCUCGCAGGUCACAGGUUGGUGACAUGUUUUUCUGGAGCUCCCGCAACUACAGCUGCGUCCGCUGGACUGGAGGGCGGCAUCUUCGGCAGCUUCUACCACCCCAGGCCAUGGAGCUUGAACCGGCCCCGUUCGCGGAGCUCAGUUGAGCCGCGGGACUUACUCACCAUCAUCCGGCGAGGUCACAACAAUGGAAGCCUGGAUCGCCUCAGCGCAGAGGGAGAACAAGGAGGGAUGAGACAGAGACUUUAAGACUUUUGCCUCCAUCACAGUGAGGAGGUGCCUGGUGAACUCACUGUGGUGGAUGUUAAUUUGUGUUUAUUGUAUGUUUUGUUAUUUAUUAUUAUAUGUAUGACUGCAGGCAACGAAAUUUCGUUCAGACCGAAAGGUCUGAAUGACAAUAAAGGAAUCCAAUCCA